rnacentral:rRNA from 1 species
AGUGAACGCUGGCGGUAGGCCUAACACAUGCAAGUCGAACGGCAGCACAGUAAGAGCUUGCUCUUACGGGUGGCGAGUGGCGGACGGGUGAGGAAUACAUCGGAAUCUACUUUUUCGUGGGGGAUAACGUAGGGAAACUUACGCUAAUACAGCAGACGACCUACGGGUGAAAGCAGGGGAUCUUCGGACCUUGCGCGAUUGAAUGAGCCGAUGUCGGAUUAGCUAGUUGGCGGGGUAAAGGCCCACCAAGGCGACGAUACGUAGCUGGACUGAGAGGAUGAUCGGCCACACUGGAACUGAGACACGGUCCAGGCUCCUACGGGAGGCAGCAGUCGGGAAUAUUGGGCAAUGGGCGCAAGCCUGAUCCAGCCAGACCGCGUGGGUGAAGAAGGCCUUCGGGUUGUAAAGCCCUUUUGUUGGGAAAGAAAAGCAGCAGGUUAAUACCCCGCUGUUCUGACGGUACCCAAAGAAUAAGCACCGGCUAACUUCGUG